UUUUGUGCAUUCCUAUUAUCCAACAAUAUGCGUUAUCAGAAAUUAAUGUUAAAUGCCCAUUGUUUGCUUUGCACAUAUUAGAAGCUUCUAAAAGGGAUAUGGAGACAACUGCAUAAAAAAAGUCCCAGUGCCAUAUGAAGGACAACACUGUUGCAACUGGGUACUGCCUGAGUAUUCUGACUGAUCAGGGACUGUUAUUAUGGCAGAAUGGAUACAGGGAUCCAGCAAAUCCUUCAAGGUUCUUCUGGACAGACGCAUUGCCUUGAGCACAUGCAGGACUUUCCCAGGCAGAUGAACUCUCUGCUGGAUUUUUAAAUGCAGUUAUGAAAGUCACCAGGUGGUCUUCAGGUGGCAAGGCCACAGGGGAAAAUAAUGGUAAUCCAGCAAUGGAUUUACAAAAAAAGAAUUCUGAGAAUGAAGAACAGCUUUGGUCCAGACUGAGAAGAAGAAAUGACUCGAAAGAGAUAGAAUGUUGUUAGAAGUGAUGCUGACAAGGAUUAAGAGUGUUAAGGCUAAACUGGAGGCAGCUGAGAAUAAACUGCUAAGUAAAUCAGAGGCAUCUUUGGAAUGCUAUCUAAAUUGGAAAUGACAAAGACAAACUAGAGAGAGCUUCUUUAGAAGCUUUCAGCAGUAAUUUCCUCCUUUACCUCAGUUGACACAAGCCUUCCUUCUCUUCUCCCCUGCCUUCCCUUCUCUCCUUCCCUCCCCUCCUCUCCUUUAUUUCCCUGUC